UGCGUGGGCACAGCAGCCUCAGGGGUCCUAGUGCGCGCCAUGGCGUCACCUGAGGCUGGGUUCUUCAGGACCCAAAGGGAUUCUGCCACCAGCUGAGGACCCAGUACCCCUCAGAGGGCCAGGGCUGUAUUUGCAGCAGUUGGUACCUCCUGUGGUGCGAUGCAGAAGUGGCCUCGUUGGCUGAGAGCUGAGGAGGUGGCUCUGGGCUGCUUCCCGAGACAUGCUGGUAGAAGCAGACCUGUUUCUGGGGAGAAAUCCCGACUCAAAUUAAGAGGAAGAGGAGCAGCCUGUAGUUGGGAGCUGAAAACACAACCUGCUGACUCUCAGGGUGUCUUAGAAGAAUGCAAUUGGGGCCUACUUGCAGAUUACUGCUGGAUUCAGAAUCCCAGGAAGGGAGGAGGGAGCAAGCUGGAGAGCUUGAGGACUCACGUGAGUACCAGGAAAAGUGCGGCAUCUCUCCACUUCUCUUCUCUCCGCCUUCCUGCGGCCAGGGUGAGACUGAGAUGGGCAGCCCUUCAGGGACCCCAAUAUUCUUCAUAACGAAAAUUUAACCAACAUCCUUUAGACACUUGUUCAACAUCUGUUUGGAGGAAAAGCUACUUGCUGCAUGGGGAAGGAUGAAAAAGAAAGAGGUGACAGUGUGCAGCCUCAUCCCUAGAGUGCCAAGCAAAGCACCUCUGGCCCUAAACUCGCAUGCUCCUCUCAGUCAGAAGCAAAGCCCUGCAGUUGGUCUGAUCUACUUU